GAGGCGAUGCGGGGACGGAGAGCGGGAUCGCGGUGCUAAGUCGGGGCUGAGCCCCGCGGCCGGGCAGGGCAGGGCAUACUGCGCGCCCCGGGGGUGAGGGACGGAGCUAAUCCCCCUGCGGCUUUGGGGCGGGCUCCGCGCUGAGGGAUUGGCGGCGGCCUCAGCCGUCCUUCGCCCGCGGAGCGCUGAGGAGAAGCGCGGGGCGGGGAGCGCCGCCGCGGGGUGGGUUUCCCCCACACGCACUGCCGUCCUACCGUGAGCGCUGCCCUAAGGAACCCUAUUCGGAAAGAUACUACUCCGAUAGCUCUGGAUUUGCUUCUUACGCUUUUGUUCCGCCCUCGUGUUGGACAGAAAUAUGAAGCAGUAUUGGAUUAGUGUCUUUUCCUGGGCUAAAGAAAAGUUUAACAAUGAAUAUAGUAGGCAUCCCUUUGGGAAUCAGACCAUUCUUCUUUCUGUUAGAGAAAUCAAAGCACAGAGUAAUAGUGUCGGUCUUUUAAUACCGCAAAAUACCUGAUGGUUGCGUACAUUAGGGUAAAUGUAUAGGCAGAAAGCCUCUGUCUGGAUAUAGAUCAGUGUUCUUCCUUUUCAGUGGAUCCAUCAACGCAAAGCCAUCCGGUUUAUAAUAGUUUUCUUUACCAAAGUGGUUGGGGUGUUCCCCAGCCCUGUGCACUUAACCUUCCAUUUGUCUUUGCUCUUUGGUUUUUCUGUUCUGAUUGAUACAGCCUCGGUCUUUCCAGAGCUUUUAAGAAGAGGAACUCCAUUCUCCACAAUCCAGUAGUUAUUAUUAUUUUUAAUUCAGUUUCCCUUUGAUCUAAUGUAAUGCAUAAUUAAAUUGCAUGGUCUGAAUUAAAACUCCACCAUUGCGUGUGUCCUUUUAACUUGCUCUUUCCUGUGGUUUUGUAAUGUCAGUUCACAGUAGUGUUUCCAGUGAGUGCAAUGAAAAGCAUUGUCUUUGCUUUCCACUUGUUUUCUUUAAUUAUUAGGUGAAAAUAAUUACUAUAUCUCUGUUGAACUCAGUGACAUGCAAUGAUUUUUCAUGUUCAGGCAAUCUUAGUCUUGUGUUGGUAAACAAGUUCCCAUACCUUGUGUAUGGACCAGAGAGUGGCUUGUUGUAAGAGACAAAUUACGUCCUGGAAUUUGAGUUGAACAACAGAGACAAGUCUUUUGAAGACCUUCUACAUUUACAGCAGAGGAAUGUGUUUACUUUUGUCCUUGCAGGCUGAGGUGUGAGCAGCAGUAGAAUUGCGUGCAUAGUCAUUGGAUUAACCAUUUCUCUUCUUAUAACUUAGCACAUACAUCUUCAGUCCUAGACAGGAGCUAUCUGUCUUGCAAUUCAGCAGUAUCUUUCUUUGUAUGCCAAAAUAAAUCUGUCCUUCUGUCCUUGGUAGCUUUCCUUUUCCACCAGCCCUCUCCAUCAUGUCAUUUUUGUUCUUAAACCUGUAUUGUUUUUUUCCUUUCUCUCGAAGACCACUCAAGAACCUUCUCUCCCACUGACAAUUCUUUGGCAAACACAGCUGUUGUCCUGUUGCAUAUCCAGGCUAGUAUUAUGCAAGCUUCUGGCACUAGCUUUCAUAUGUCUCGCUUGUAUUUCUAAGCACUUAUCUAUCAUCUCCCUAAUCUGCCUAUUCCUCUUUUAAUAUGUCUGUAGUCUCUGGGCCCUCUUUCCUAGCUUUUGUAUUUCCCAGCCAGAAUUCUACUGGUUAAGCUGCCUUUGGAGUGUUUUUGAGUACCUCUGAGGUACAGUUUUCCUCUCUGAUUCUGCAGUGUCCAUGUGAAAGCGUCUCACCUGUGUUGCACAAUUCAUGAGUUGCUGCAAAUACUUGCAGAGAUCUCUGUUCUGCCUUUCAUUUGUCUUGUGGCAAGAGCUCAGGGAAAACAGACUCUUGUCCUACCAACUCUUCACAAGAGGCUUGACUGGCCCCAGUUUACUUAUUCAGAGCAGGAAGAUUACAGACUUUGUAUGUUGGUAAAGCAGAUGUGUGGCCAGAAGUUAGUCAAAAAAGAAAGGAGAAAAACUGAGAAGGAAUGAAUGUCCACCAGCCUGGCACACACAAAAGAAUUAUGCCAGAAGACUGUACCACAGUGAAGAAAGUAAGCAGCUGUUCCUUCUACCAUACCAAAACUGUUCUUUAAGAGUUGCCAAAUAGUCAGAAGAUAUCUGCUCUGACCCCAAAGUUACAAAGGCAGGGUAGGGUGAAGCAGGCAGCAAACAGUAGGAUGCACAGAUCUGCUCUGGCUGGAGUGAUGUGCAUGGGGUGUGCCACAUGAGUAAUGUGACCCAUUGUAGCUAUACAGCUUUUUUCCACAGCACUGCUAAUCCGCUCCUGGAAGGCAUUGAAACGCACCAAAUAAGUAAAGAUAGUGUGCAACUGAAGUCCUUGGGUUGUUUUUGUUUGUAUAAACAAGUCAAAAAUGCAGACUUUGGAGAACCCUGCCUUUGCGUAUGUGUUUGCGUAGCUGCUGCCCCAAAAAGCACCCAUGGAUUUGGAAAUAGUUGAACUCCAAAUAGUAACAUUCAUCACUAGUACUAAAUGUAAAUUUCCUGCUGUUGAUUUGUCUGUUCCAUCCAGCUUCAGGGAAAAUGAGAGGACCCAGCUGUGGGUCUAGCUCCCAGGCUUACUGCAGUUGAGGGCCGGCUUGUGAAUGUCAGCUGAUUACCAUGUGAUGAACGAGUGAAUCUAACACCCAAACCACUGGAGAAGCAGAGUUAAGAAAUCACUAAGCUUCCGCUUCACACAGACAAAGACACGUAACGUUGAUACUGACAUAAACCUCCUGUGGGGCAGAAGGGAUUAGCAGAGAUACUCCAGCACUUGUUGCCCUUUUCCCUUUAUAAGUUUUAUGUUGUUGCAGAUGGAAGACUUGAGGACCAUGAAAGGCACUGAAUACAUCUGAAAGGCUGUGGGGCAGAUGCCUAUAUAUUUCACUUGGAAGGGAAAAUAAACGAUGUUGUUCAAACCUUGUGAGAUGUACCUAUCCAGGUACGCUUCCUGCCAGCAUGGGUGAAGUUUUCCAUUGUGUAAACUCCUUGAAGAUGCAAACGCUUCAUUUGAGCUCACGUGAUGUUUGGAAAGGUUCCAUUAUGGCAGUAACAAGCGCAACCCUGAAAACAUGUGCAAGUCCAGUUACAGACAUUAAGCUUGUUAGCAAACAGUAAUUCUUGACAGACGGAUUGAAAGAGCAGAGAAACAACUCCCCCCAGAUGCUUGAAAGUCAGACUUCUGGCCUCCAGCCAAAGAGCUGCUCCAGAGCCUUUCUCCUCCCAUGAUCAGGCAGUCUCCCAGUUGUCAAAAAAAGCAUCGGUUCAGCCAGUUUGUGCCUACUGAUAGUUUACAUGCCUGCACCUCAGUAAGUGGUUAAUGUAUCUAUCUAAUGUGGUAGCUCUUAGGUAUGCAUAGGUAAGAAUUUCACUAGAGGAGAGGAGAAAGCAUGCCUGUUGCUGGUGUGUGAAAUGACUGCAUUUUGCACCAGGCAUUUUCCAAACAGAAAAGCUAUUCAUUCUAGCUGCCAGGUUUUGGUGGGGAAAUGCUAAGCAGGUUCAGUUCUGCUGAUGUACGCAGUAGCAAUACCUCUUUUUUCUGUAUCACAGCCAUUAGUGUCACGGUCUGAGUUUCAAAACAAUUCAGAAGUGUGCAAAUAUGGCUUAAUUCACAUUUUCCCCACUGGCAGCAGACCUUAUUUGACAGAAAAAUACAUCUUCACCAGACUUAACAAAAACGCCAGUAAGUUCAUACAGGUGUUUUUGUUAUGUUUUAUCUUAUUUUGCUUUAUGCCAAAGGCUAGUGAAAGUUCCAGGCAGAAGGGAUGUCCAAGAAACAAAAUCUUCACCUUUAUAUGGAGUAGCUUUACAGUUCCAGGCAGCUGCCUCAGGCCAGAUGCAGAGCUGUUGAAGUCAAUGGAAAAAUCAUCCCUUGGGUUUAACAGACUGAGUCAGAUACCUCGCCUAAUGGCUCACAAUGUUGAGUAGCAGGAAUUUCUGUUGGAUCUCAAGGCAUUCGUGAGAAUGCAGGCAGAAGCUGGAAGGACAACACCUGCCCUUACUGUUGUCCCAGUGAUAAAUGAGGCAAGAGGGGCUUGUCCACUGCACAAUGCAUCAUUUCAUAAAUGCUGUUCUUUCUAAAGGUUUGCUUCUAAGGAAUGAGUUUCUGUGAAUAAAGGAGUUUUGGCAACAAUAAAGCAAUGAAAGCUUUCA